GUCCAAUAUUUUUGCUUAUGAUUUCUGCCUUGGCAAAACACAUAUAUAAUAUUGUUUUUCCCAGAAGGUUGGCUGAAUACUCUAAAAGUCAUUAUUGACUAAUACUGGGGUUAGCCAAGUACGACUAGGAUUUCCUUCAGUAGUGGAAACAUCGAUCAUUAGGGUGAAACAGAUUGUAUUUGCUGAAAGAAAAGCUACUUCUGCUUAUUUGUAGGGCAUAAACAUCCCAUGGGUCUGCUCAGAGUUAUAACAGUGUAAAUCCAUUAGAGUUGAGGGGAGACUCAAGCCCAUUAUUUUUCAACAAGUUAUAUUCACCUGUUUGCUUAAAUGAUGCCAGGUGGACAGAACCAACUUUUAUAACAAAUUUAAACUCCUCAUAAACAGAGCUUUAAGUUCCCUUCUUCUUUGACUUUGUCCCACAGGCCUUGAGACUGACAGGGACACCUGUACCUUUGUGGUGAGGCAAAAGAGCAGGUGAAAGAAAACUCAUUUGUCUUUAUUCUCACUGUAUUGAACAGACCACAGAUCAUCUGAGGGGGGGAUUAAGUUACACUCAGUUUUGCGAAGUUAACACUUUCUAAAACAUGAAACUCAAAGCCUGGUCCUGUUUUGCCAACAAGUGGCCUCAACUUCAACUGGUGAAUUGCCCUCUGAGCAUCAUUGGUUUGAACCAGUUUGAUCACAUAAUGCACAAGCUGCCGUGGAUUUGGCCCCAGCCUGAUAAAGCAGGAUCUGCAGCAAAUAAGAACCCUGGAAGCAGCAAGAUCUGCUGUGAUGUGGAUGGUGAUGAUGGAAGAGAAAUGGGUAUAGAGUGGAGAAAAAUCCCAGAAGCAGCUGUGCCAGGAGCAGCAGUGUCUGGUUUCAGAGUUUGCCAUUCUGCACUCCUUAUGUAA
rnacentral:lncRNA from 1 species